AUACGUAUGUCGCAAGCGUUAUCCGGAUUUAUUGGGCGUAAAGCGCGUCUAGGCGGCUUAGUAAGUCUGAUGUGAAAAUGCGGGGCUCAACCCCGUAUUGCGUUGGAAACUGCUAAACUAGAGUACUGGAGAGGUAGGCGGAACUCCAAGAGUAAAGGAGAAAUUCGUAGAUAUUUGUAGGAAUGCAGAUGGGGAAGCCAGCCUACUGGACAGAUACAGACGCUAAAGCGCGAAAGCGUGGGUAGCAAACAGGAUUAGAUACCCUGGUAGUCCACGCCGUAAACGAUGAUUACUAGGUGUUGGGGGUCGAACCUCAGCGCCCAAGCUAACGCGAUAAGUAAUCCGCCUGGGGAGUACGUACGCAAGUAUGAAACUCAAAUGAAUUGACGGGG
rnacentral:rRNA from 1 species